GCUGGCAGCUAGCUCUCUGCAACUCUUACAUGGUCACCCAUUGAAGUUAAGCAGGGCUGCGCCUGGUCAGUACCUGGAUGGGAGAUCACAUGGGAAAGCUAGGUUGCUGCCAGAA
rnacentral:rRNA from 1 species